AAGAAAUAACCAGGAUUUCCCUAGUAACGGCGAGCGAACCGGAAAGAGCCCAGCUUGAGAAUCGUGGCGCUUCGCACCUCGAAUUGUAGUCUGGAGAUGCAUCCUCUGCCGCGCACCAGACCCAAGUUCCCUGGAAAGGGACGUCAGAGAGGGUGACAACCCCGUCGAGUCUGGACCGUGUUGCUCCACGAGGUGCAGUCUGCGAGUCGGGCUGUUUGGGAAUGCAGCCCUAAGUGGGUGGUAAAUUCCAUCCAAGGCUAAAUACUGGCAAGAGACCGAUAGCGAACAAGUACCGCGAGGGAAAGAUGAAAAGGACUUUGAAAAGAGAGUUAAAAAGUGCUUGAAAUUGCUGGGAGGGAAGCGAAUGGAAGCUGCGGGUGCGUCCCGGUUGGAUGUGGAACGGCCUUGCGCUGGUCCGCCGCUCAACGCGGGGCACUGGUCAGCGUGGGCCAUCGCGGCGGGACAAGAGCGGGGUGUAGUUCCCCGCCUAUGCCGUUGCGGUGGCCGAGGAGCGAAGCGCGCGCCUUUUCUCCUGGCGUCCCCCUCCGGGGGGAACUGCGCGCUCGGGACGCUGGCGUAUUGAGCUCUUCAUCCGACCCGUCUUGAAACACGGACCAAGGAGUCUAACAUGUAUGCGAGCCGGUGGGCGGCAAACCCAUUGAGGCGCAAGGAAACUGACAGGUGGGACCCCGUCGAAGGGAGCACCAUCGACCGACCGUGAUCUUCUGUGAAAGGUUUGAGUGUGAGCAUACCUGUUGGGACCCGAAAGAUGGUGAACUAUGCCUGAGCAGGGCGAAGCCAGAGGAAACUCUGGUGGAGGCUCGUAGCGAUACUGACGUGCAAAUCGUUCGUCAGACUUGGGUAUAGGGGCGAAAGACUAAUCGAACCAUCUAGUAGCUGGUUCCCUCCGAAGUUUCCCUCAGGAUAGCUGGAGCUCGUGUAAGAGUUUUAUCAGGUAAAGCGAAUGAUUAGAGGCAUCGGGGGUGUAACACCCUCGACCUAUUCUCAAACUUUAAAUAGGUAAGCCGCCGGGGUUGCUUGGUUGAACCCCGGCACAGAAUGAGAGCUCCAAGUGGGCCAU
rnacentral:rRNA from 1 species